GACGAACGCUGGCGGCGUGCUUAACACAUGCAAGUCGAGCGGUAAGGCCCUUUCGGGGGUACGACGAGCGGCGAACGGGUGAGUAACACGUGGGUGACCUGCCCUCAGCUCUGGGAUAAGCCUGGGAAACCGGGUCUAAUACUGGAUAUGACUCCAUGACGCAUGUUUGUGGGGUGGAAAGCCUUGUGCGGCUGAGGAUGGG
rnacentral:rRNA from 1 species